AGAAAAAAAAAACGUGGGAUGACGUCAGUAGGUGAUGAUCUCCGUAGACACUCCACCUGGCUGCGGGCUGAACGCACCGCGCGGCGAGAGAGCGCAGCUGAUGCAGCUGAUGGGUGACAAAAACAAAAGCCCAGCCAGCGAACCCCGGUGUGCCAAAGCCAUGUUCUGCACAGUUACCGUGUCCGGACGAAGGGCGGCGCUCGCGACCCCCUCACGGCUGAAUCAAAAGCCUCCAGCCUGCGUCCGUAAUUGAAUUGCAGGAGUAACAUGAGAGGCUUGCUGGCAUAGUAAUGAAUCAACAGCCGGUGGCGAUUUAAUAAAACCUCAUCUACGUUACUGGCUGGAUUCUGUGGAUUUAGGUCUGGAGGCUGAGACGACGUUGGAAGGACGUAGAUUUGUUUUGCUUGAACCACUUCUGCUCUGAUGUGACUCGUUUUUAGCUAGAUGUCGCCAGAAUUUCUGUUUUUAAAGUCGUCGUAUUUAAAUGAUUUCCAGCAAAUUCACCAAACAGAUUUCCAGGGUCUCUGGAAAGGAAACAGGCCCGCAGCAUCACAGAUCCUCAACCGUAUUUUACAGCAGCAGAAACUAGGUACUUUCCCCACAUUAUUCAUCCUCUAUUUCAGAGUCAACCCACGGGGAAUGUCACAUCUAACCACAUUGUUUCCAGUAAAAAUCCCAGCAUAGGAAAAAAAAUGCCACGUUUAUGUUUGUAAUGAGAGGAGAAAACAACCAGGUGGCAUGAAAACAGUAGCAUCUAAUGGUCGUCAUGGAGACUUAGUUACUCCAGAAGCCCACGUGUUGCUGUGAUUUUAUUUAUUUAUUUACUAUCCUGUUGAUGGUGCAUUACACCAACAGACACAUGGAUCCUUUUCUGAGUCACAUCAUAUGUCUUCCCCUGGGAAACAGGAACUUGUGAUUUACAAAUUAAAGGUUCCUCAAAGGUCAACUUAAAAAAGCAUUGUAUAAGUGAAAAAUGAUAAUUUAAAUACAAUUAAAAAUGUGUAUAUUUUAGGAGUAACAAUAAUAGAUGCAAUUAAUUGUAAUUUAAAAAACAAUUGAUUAGUUAAAGGAAAAGUUUAGGAAAAAAUGAGGGAUAGAUUUUUCUCAUUUUUUUGAGAGUGAGAUUGUGCUGCGUCAUUGCCAGAGGUGCCAACAUAUUUGUCUGGAUCUUUAAAUGCAUAAAAUCCAUGUUUUGCUUAUGAAGACAUAUUUGAAAUGCAAAAUUAAUAAAAUAACGAUUUUAGAAUCUUUAUUUACAAUUGAAACAGAGCAUCGUUAAUUUGUGUGUGUGUGUGUGUGGGGG